UACGUAGGGCGCAAGCGUUGUCCGGAAUUAUUGGGCGUAAAGAGCUCGUAGGCGGUUUGUCGCGUCUGCUGUGAAAACCUAAGGCUCAACCUUGGGCUUGCAGUGGGUACGGGCAGGACUAGAGUGCGGUAGGGGUGACUGGAAUUCCGUGGUGUAGCGGUGGAAUGCGGCAGAUAUCAGGAGGAACACCGAGUGGCGAAGGCAGGUCA
rnacentral:rRNA from 1 species